rnacentral:lncRNA from 1 species
UCAUCGCCACUUUCAAGCAGCUAAGCAACUUUCUCACUCUCUUAUGGUUUCAGGCGAUUUGGAUUGGUUCAGUUUGUCUAGCAAAAUUCAACCCUACAGUCAAAUUGAGGACUUGAAAGACUAUUUAUCAAAAUUUAAUGCCAAAGAGAGUAAAAUGUUGCACAGAGUGAUUCCUCGGUAUAAUGAAUUGGCAGCAACGGUUAAGUAACAAACUUAUCGCUUUGGGCUGGAUCAAAGCAAAAUGAUGAGAUAUUUAGCCACUAUGAUCUGUAGUGUAUCCCGCUCUUCAAUUUUGCCUCAACUGAUGUUAAGAAGGUGGCGAUGGCCUGAUGAAAUUCACUCUGGCACCUGAUGUCUGACGGAACAACCAGGUUCGAUGGUUAUAA